CGAGUCGUUGAUUUCACACUGCCGAGAAAAGCCUCUAGAUAGAAAAUAGGUGCCCGUACCGCAAACCGACACAGGUAGUCAAGAUGAGAAUUCUAAGGUGAGCGAGCGAACUCUCGUUAAGGAACUCGGCAAAAUGACCCCGUAACUUCGGGAGAAGGGGUGCUCUUUAGGGUUAACGCCCAGAAGAGCCGCAGUGAAUAGGCCCAAGCGACUGUUUAUCAAAAACACAGGUCUCUGCUAAACCGUAAGGUGAUGUAUAGGGGCUGACGCCUGCCCGGUGCUGGAAGGUUAAGAGGAGUGGUUAGCUUCUGCGAAGCUACGAAUCGAAGCCCCAGUAAACGGCGGCCGUAACUAUAACGGUCCUAAGGUAGCGAAAUUCCUUGUCGGGUAAGUUCCGACCCGCACGAAAGGCGUAACGAUUUGGGCACUGUCUCAACGAGAGACUCGGUGAAAUCAUAGUACCUGUGAAGAUGCAGGUUACCCGCGACAGGACGGAAAGACCCCGUGGAGCUUUACUGUAGCCUGAUAUUGAAAUUCGGCACAGCUUGUACAGGAUAGGUAGGAGCCUUUGAAACGUGAGCGCUAGCUUACGUGGAGGCGCUGGUGGGAUACUACCCUAGCUGUGUUGGCUUUCUAACCCGCACCACUUAUCGUGGUGGGAGACAGUGUCAGGCGGGCAGUUUGACUGGGGCGGUCGCCUCCUAAAAGGUAACGGAGGCGCUCAAAGGUUCCCUCAGAAUGGUUGGAAAUCAUUCAUAGAGUGUAAAGGCAUAAGGGAGCUUGACUGCGAGACCUACAAGUCGAGCAGGGUCGAAAGACGGACUUAGUGAUCCGGUGGUUCCGCAUGGAAGGGCCAUCGCUCAACGGAUAAAAGCUACCCCGGGGAUAACAGGCUUAUCUCCCCCAAGAGUUCACAUCGACGGGGAGGUUUGGCACCUCGAUGUCGGCUCAUCGCAUCCUGGGGCUGUAGUCGGUCCCAAGGGUUGGGCUGUUCGCCCAUUAAAGCGGUACGCGAGCUGGGUUCAGAACGUCGUGAGACAGUUCGGUCCCUAUCCGUCGUGGGCGUAGGAAAUUUGAGAGGAGCUGUCCUUAGUACGAGAGGACCGGGAUGGACAUACCUCUGGUGUACCAGUUGUCGUGCCAACGGCAUAGCUGGGUAGCUAUGUGUGGACGGGAUAAGUGCUGAAAGCAUCUAAGCAUGAAGCCCCCCUCAAGAUGAGAUUUCCCAACUUCGGUUAUAAGAUCCCUCAAAGAUGAUGAGGUUAAUAGGUUCGAGGUGGAAGCAUGGUGACAUGUGGAGCUGACGAAUACUAA
rnacentral:rRNA from 1 species